ACUUAAAUUGAAGAGUUUGAUCAUGGCUCAGAUUGAACGCUGGCGGCAGGCCUAACACAUGCAAGUCGAGCGGUAGCACAGAGAGCUUGCUCUCGGGUGACGAGCGGCGGACGGGUGAGUAAUGUCUGGGAAACUGCCUGAUGGAGGGGGAUAACUACUGGAAACGGUAGCUAAUACCGCAUAACGUCGCAAGACCAAAGUGGGGGACCUUCGGGCCUCAUGCCAUCAGAUGUGCCCAGAUGGGAUUAGCUAGUAGGUGGGGUAAUGGCUCACCUAGGCGACGAUCCCUAGCUGGUCUGAGAGGAUGACCAGCCACACUGGAACUGAGACACGGUCCAGACUCCUACGGGAGGCAGCAGUGGGGAAUAUUGCACAAUGGGCGCAAGCCUGAUGCAGCCAUGCCGCGUGUGUGAAGAAGGCCUUCGGGUUGUAAAGCACUUUCAGCGGGGAGGAAGGCGGUGAGGUUAAUAACCUCAUCGAUUGACGUUACCCGCAGAAGAAGCACCGGCUAACUCCGUGCCAGCAGCCGCGGUAAUACGGAGGGUGCAAGCGUUAAUCGGAAUUACUGGGCGUAAAGCGCACGCAGGCGGUCUGUCAAGUCGGAUGUGAAAUCCCCGGGCUCAACCUGGGAACUGCAUUCGAAACUGGCAGGCUAGAGUCUUGUAGAGGGGGGUAGAAUUCCAGGUGUAGCGGUGAAAUGCGUAGAGAUCUGGAGGAAUACCGGUGGCGAAGGCGGCCCCCUGGACAAAGACUGACGCUCAGGUGCGAAAGCGUGGGGAGCAAACAGGAUUAGAUACCCUGGUAGUCCACGCCGUAAACGAUGUCGAUUUGGAGGUUGUGCCCUUGAGGCGUGGCUUCCGGAGCUAACGCGUUAAAUCGACCGCCUGGGGAGUACGGCCGCAAGGUUAAAACUCAAAUGAAUUGACGGGGGCCCGCACAAGCGGUGGAGCAUGUGGUUUAAUUCGAUGCAACGCGAAGAACCUUACCUGGUCUUGACAUCCACAGAACUUUCCAGAGAUGGAUUGGUGCCUUCGGGAACUGUGAGACAGGUGCUGCAUGGCUGUCGUCAGCUCGUGUUGUGAAAUGUUGGGUUAAGUCCCGCAACGAGCGCAACCCUUAUCCUUUGUUGCCAGCGGUUAGGCCGGGAACUCAAAGGAGACUGCCAGUGAUAAACUGGAGGAAGGUGGGGAUGACGUCAAGUCAUCAUGGCCCUUACGACCAGGGCUACACACGUGCUACAAUGGCAUAUACAAAGAGAAGCGACCUCGCGAGAGCAAGCGGACCUCAUAAAGUAUGUCGUAGUCCGGAUUGGAGUCUGCAACUCGACUCCAUGAAGUCGGAAUCGCUAGUAAUCGUAGAUCAGAAUGCUACGGUGAAUACGUUCCCGGGCCUUGUACACACCGCCCGUCACACCAUGGGAGUGGGUUGCAAAAGAAGUAGGUAGCUUAACCUUCGGGAGGGCGCUUACCACUUUGUGAUUCAUGACUGGGGUGAAGUCGUAACAAGGUAACCGUAGGGGAACCUGCGGUUGGAUCACCUCCUUACCUUAAAGAA
rnacentral:rRNA from 2 species